AUUGGUCACUUUGAAUCUACUGCAUAAAUACAAGAAUGUAAAACUAUGAUGCUGAAUGGUCGGAAGAGAAAGAAGUUCCAGUAGUCUGGGCAGGAAUCUGGAGGGCUGCACUGAUUUCCUGAUGAACGCUGACAGGACUAUUAAAGCUGUGAAACAACAUCACUUGAAUAUGGCAUCGAAUGAAAGCACUAGCUUGGUUAUGCUGCUCUUGGGUGUUACUAGCUGAUU